AGUGAGAAAUUAGUUCCAAGCUUUUUCCCAUUUGUGAAGUAGAGAAGCAAGAAGGCAAGUAAGAAGGCAAGGAAGUCUAGAGAAGGAAGAGAAAGUCUAGCAAAAGGGUGAGUAUUAGCUUGUGGAGGUGUUGAAGCUUCAAAGUCUAAGAGGGAUUCUUGGCUUGUGAGAGUGUAAAGCUUCAAGGAAACAAGGUGGAGAAACAUCCAAGGGAAAGGGAGUUUUGCAAGGGUGAAGGUAUUGAAGCAAAGAG